rnacentral:rRNA from 1 species
UACGGAGGAUGCGAGCGUUAUCCGGAUUUAUUGGGUUUAAAGGGUGCGCAGGCGGAUCGUUAAGUCAGUGGUCAAAUUGAGGGGCUCAACCCCUUCCCGCCAUUGAAACUGGCGCUCUUGAGUGGAAGAGAAGUAUGCGGAAUGCGUGGUGUAGCGGUGAAAUGCAUAGAUAUCACGCAGAACCCCGAUUGCGAAGGCAGCAUGCCGGCUUCCGACUGACGCUGAAGCACGAAAGCGUGGGGAUCGAACAGG